rnacentral:lncRNA from 10 species
UGUGCCUCUGAUUAAGUCAUUUCAUCUCUGUCAAGAUUCCUUAACAGUAAAGUAAACUAAUAGUAUGUCAUCUCUUUCAAGGGAUUUUUUUUUUUUUUUUGAGUUAAUGAGCGUGCAGUGAGCAAUUUAAGGAUCAAACAUACUGGGCAAAAGACUAAAUUUUUAUUAUAGUGGAUACUCACAGCCUUAUGUAAUCUGCCAGUCUAAACCAUGUGCUGCUUUGGCACAUGCUUUACUGAAAAUAGCAGACCAGUUUGUGAGCUGGCAAAAUUUCAACAUAGCAGAUGGACAUGCAACGAAAUAACUAGCAAAGAGACCUUGUUUCAACAUCAAAUAUGUUUCCGUAGGGCCAGAUUCUUGGGCAAAGUUGUUUUAGCGAUCUGGUUGCAACUAAGUAUUGGAGUUGUUGUGCCUUGAAGCUAGAAACUGCCUUGAAUUUCUACAUAGGGAAAUGUAAUCUAUUGCUUUCUUACAGGUAAAUGUUUAUCAUGUGAAGAUUGCUCUCUCCUUGGCAAUACCUUGUUGGUAGAAGUAGAAUUUAAAAUAUAUUUUAAGUAUUUUUAUAUGUACAUUUCCAGAAUAGACUAUGAACACUUUGAGGUCAAGGACUAUAUGUUAGAAACUGUUAGUAGGCUACCUAAUAUCAAUUCUCACUGUUUUAUUUACUAAUGAAGCUGCACUUUAUUUGGGGGAGCCGUGUGCCAGGUGAAAAUAUUCUCUCUGCUUCCUUUGCAGCUAAAAGUAGACAUUUGACACAGUUUUGGCCACUAAGAUAUAAACAAUUCACUGGGUAUGGUUUCUGGGAAGGCUCUUUAUUGGAGGAUGACCCAGCUGGCCUGUGUAUCAUUCUACUGUUUGUCCUGCUCCUUCUUCCUGCUUGGAAUGUGGACAUGUCUACAGCUAUAGCAUCACUGCUGCCUUCGUAUCUGAUUGCCAUUUGCCAGCUGACCUGUGACACGGCAGCAGUGUAUUACAUUUUCAAUGAGCAGUCUGUCUGGAGCUGCUACUGGGAGAAACCGCUUCCUGGUUUCUAGGUUCUUUGCUCUGGGGUAGUUUAAGAUAAAUAUGGUAUCCGCCUCUACAUCAGUAUUAAG